rnacentral:lncRNA from 1 species
AAAGAAAUCACAAAGGUCUUUUUCAGGCUGAAACUUACAAAGCUGAAAACAUGUUGAGAAUAGUACAGUCACAUCCAUGGACUUAAUAAAGACUCUAAUCCUCUUAAAAGUUCUAGAACUUUCUUAUUUUCCCAAAAUUCUAACCUGCAGGAGAGGUAAUUCCUUCAGGGAUCUUCUUCUGAGGGUUCAGAAGAAGGAAACAUCUUCUGUGUCCAAGAACUUAAGGAUUUCCCAGUACUCGGGAGGCUAAGGCAGGAAGAUAAAAAAAGAAUUCAAGGACUUAUAGAUGCAAAGAAGUACUAUGAGAAGGAUUUUUGUCCUGGAUCAGCUGUCACCGUACUGCAGCGCUUGUGUUCAAGUAACCUUCACGUACGAGCCUCUUGCUGUACUACAGAGCCAGCACCACAGCUCACUUCAUCUGGUCACAUAGGCACCGGAUCAUGUCAUGUCAUCACAGGAACAGACUUGUGGAGUCCGGCGUCGUGGUGCACGCCUGUAGUCCCAGCACUGAGGAGGCUGAGGCGGGAGUCUGGCUGUGGGUCCGAGGCCAGCCUGGACUACAUAGCGAGACCGUCUCCAAAAACCAAACAAUAAAUGAAUGAAUAAACAAACAGGAUUUGUGUCUCCCAGUGCCUGG